AGGGGUUAGACAAAUCUAGUAUAAGUGAUGUGCUUGAUGGUGCUAACAGGGAAAAUAGGAGACCAACUGCAAUGGAUAUACCCAAGCAUGAUGUCUCAGAAGGAAACCAUGUUUUUAAAGCUCGCCCUCUGAACAAGAAGAUACUUUCAAGCAGAGGAGACAUGGGAAUUUUC